GAUGAACGCUGGCGGCGUGCCUAAUACAUGCAAGUAGAACGCUGAAGGAAGGAGCUUGCUCUUUCCGGAUGAGUUGCGAACGGGUGAGUAACGCGUAGGUAACCUGCCUGGUAGCGGGGGAUAACUAUUGGAAACGAUAGCUAAUACCGCAUAACAGUAGAUGUUGCAUGAUAUCUACUUAAAAUGUGCAAUUUCACCAGCUCGAGAUGGACCUGCGUUGUAUUAGCUAGUUGGUGGGGUAACAGCCCACCAAGGCGACGAUGCAUAGCCGGUCUGAGAGGAUGAUCAGCCAGACUGGGACUGAGACACGGCCCAGACUCCGACGGGAGGCAGCAGUGGGGAAUAUUGGACAAUGGGCGAAAGCCUGAUACAGCAAUGCCGCGUGAGUGAUGAAGGCCUUAGGGUUGUAAAGCUCUUUUACCCGGGAUGAUAAUGACAGUACCGGGAGAAUAAGCUCCGGCUAACUCCGUG
rnacentral:rRNA from 1 species